rnacentral:tRNA from 1 species
UGGGACGUGGCUCAGUGGAUAAAGCACUUGACUCUCAAGUGUGAGGUCCUGAGUUCAAGCCUCAGCACCACAU